rnacentral:rRNA from 1 species
UGGGGAAUAUUGGACAAUGGGCGAAAGCCUGAUCCAGCCAUGCCGCGUGUGUGAAGAAGGUCUUCGGAUUGUAAAGCACUUUAAGUUGGGAGGAAGGGCAGUAAGCGAAUACCUUGCUGUUUUGACGUUACCGACAGAAUAAGCACCGGCUAACUCUGUGCCAGCAGCCGCGGUAAUACAGAGGGUGCAAGCGUUAAUCGGAAUUACUGGGCGUAAAGCGCGCGUAGGUGGUUCGUUAAGUUGAAUGUGAAAGCCCCGGGCUCAACCUUGGAACUGCAUCCAAAACUGGCGGGCUGGAGUAAGGCAGAGGGUGGUGGAAUUUCCUGGGUAGCGGUGAAAUGCGUAGAUAUAGGAAGGAACACCAGUGGCGAAGGCGGCCACCUGGGCUCAUACUGACACUGAGGUGCGAAAGCGUGGGGAGCAAACAGG